rnacentral:rRNA from 1 species
GGAAUCUACCUAGUAGUAUGGGAUAGCCACUAGAAAUGGUGGGUAAUACUGUAUAAUCCCUGCGGGGGAAAGAUUUAUCGCUAUUAGAUGAGCCUAUGUCAGAUUAGCUAGUUGGUGGGGUAAUGGCCUACCAAGGCGGUGAUCUGUAGCUGGUCUGAGAGGAUGAUCAGCCACACUGGAACUGAGACACGGUCCAGACUCCUACGGGAGGCAGCAGUGGGGAAUAUUGGACAAUGGGCGCAAGCCUGAUCCAGCUAUGCCGCGUGAGUGAGGAAGGCCUUAGGGUUGUAAAACUCUUUCAGUAGGGAAGAUAAUGACGGUACCUACAGAAGAAGUCCCGGCAAACUCCGUGCCAGCAGCCGCGGUAAUACGGAGGGGGCAAGCGUUGUUCGGAAUUAUUGGGCGUAAAGGGCAUGUAGGCGGUUUGGUAAGUUAAAGGUGAAAUACCAGGGCUUAACCCUGGGGCUGCUUUUAAUACUGCCGGACUAGAGUCCGGAAGAGGAUAGCGGAAUUCCUAGUGUAGAGGUGAAAUUCGUAGAUAUUAGGAG